rnacentral:misc_RNA from 1 species
GUGUUCCCUGCCCUCACGGGUAGAAACGCCCACCCUUGUGUAUUAUAUCUUUGUUGCUUCGGCAGGCCGCCUUCGGGCACCGGCUCCGGCUGGAUCGUGCCUGCCAAAGGAAACCCAAACUCUGAAUGUUAGUGUCGUCUGAGUACUAUCUAAUAGUUAAAACUUUCAACAACGGAUCUCUUGGUUCU